CCUGGAGGCUGCAGUGGGGAAUAUUGGACAAUGGGCGAAAGCCUGAUCCAGCCAUGCCGCGUGUGUGAAGAAGGCCUUCGGGUUGUAAAGCACUUUCAGUGGGGAAGAAAGCCUUGGGGCUAAUACCCUCGAGGAAGGACAUCACCCACAGAAGAAGCACCGGCUAACUCCAUGCCAGCAGCCGCGGUAAUACGGAGGGUGCGAGCGUUAAUCGGAAUUACUGGGCGUAAAGCGCGCGUAGGCGGUCUGAUAAGCCGGUUGUGAAAGCCCCGGGCUCAACCUGGGAACGGCAUCCGGAACUGUCAGGCUAGAGUGCAGGAGAGGAAGGUAGAAUUCCCGGUGUAGCGGUGAAAUGCGUAGAGAUCGGGAGGAAUACCAGUGGCGAAGGCGGUCUUCUGGACUGACACUGACGCUGAGGUGCGAAAGCGUGGGUAGCAAACAGGAUUAGAUACCCCUGUAGUC
rnacentral:rRNA from 1 species